UUGCCUCAGACAAUCUCGGGACGCCGAGAGAGAAGGGAGCUUGGCCUGGGAGCCAUUAUGAAGGCCUGGGUCGGAAGAAAGAAAGAAAGAAAGAAAGAAAGAAAGAAAGGGCAGCCGCGGCUAGAAGGCCCGAAGAGACAGGCUCCGUUUCUGAAGCAGAAAUGGCAAAGCCUUGUGAAACGGACGGAAGAAAUAAAGGCAAAAUUUUUGAAAAUUUCCACAGCUUUUUCUGAAGGGACCAGCGCUGAAUUCAAGUCAACGUGAAGAAAGAAACAAAAGGUCGAGAGACAGAGGACGGAAGAUGCUUGAAGACACCCUCGCAAGGACACCGCCUGCCUCCCAAAAAAGGUCGUUUUCAGGGUAAUUGGUGUAAGGGUAGGCAUUUAAUGUCUAUCUUUGCAUUAAAAAAAGGGUUACCUUUGCACACGGUUCCCCUCGCGUGUGGCAUCGAAGAAGUCCCACUCGGGAACGGACGGGUCCUCCCUUUGUUCUAGGCAGAUGAUGGGUCUUCCUAUACGGGCCGUAGGGGUCACAGCUUGGGGGUCAGCGGGGGGGCCCGCCCUGGCAUCGUGGGGGGCAGCACACGUUACGGGCAUUUUAAGAUGUCAUUGCAACUUAGAAAUAAAAAUAUUAACUCACUUACUAACAUCCUACUAACACCAUUCUAAAUAGGGUACCCUGGCCUUUUAAAUAGGACUGUUCUGCCUGAUGGCAAGAACCAAGCUGGGAAGGGAGGGGGCCUCCUGGCCCCCCAUAAAAGGGCCCCCAUGUAAGGACAUUGCAAAAGGCCCCUAAGGUGUCCUGAGAGCAGCCUCUUGGUCCUUAGUGUGUUCCCCACGGUGCCAGGUCUGGGCCCCUUGCCCUCCCCCAACCCAUGGACCCUGCCGCUUGUAUAUCAUCCGUCCAGGGCCAACGGACGCCCCCUCCCUCCCCGGGUGGAGCUUCGAGGCCACACUCAAGGGGAGACCAGAGCCGUGUGCCUCAUGCCAACGCCUAGCACGUGGCGAACCUUUUUUUUUACUGCAAACAUAGGCAUCAUGAUUGUGAUUUUUGUUAAUUCCUUUUAAAUUUAAUUGUUUGUAUUUGAUAGCAUGGUAGGCUGGUUUUAUAUCAGUGAGCCGCCCCGAGUCCCUCUGGGGAGACGGUGGCAGGGUACAAAAAUAAAAUAAUUAUUAUUAUUGAUUCGAGGCACCUGGAAAAAGAAAUACCAGGAAGCAGAUAAAAUUAUUAUUAUUAUUAUUAUUGAUUCGAGGCACCUGGAAAAAGAAAUACCAGGAAGCAGAUAAAAUUAUUAUUAUUAUUAUUAUUAUUAUUAUUAUUAUUAUUAUUAUUAUUAUUAUUAUUGAUUACAGGCACCUGGAAAAAGAAAUACCAGGAAGCAGAUAAAAUUAUUAUUAUUAUUAUUAUUAUUGAUUACAGGCACCUGGAAAAAGAAAUACCAGGAAGCAGAUAAAAUUAUUAUUAUUAUUAUUAUUAUUAUUAUUGAUUCCAGGAAAAAGAAAUACCAGGAAGCAGAUAAAAUUAUUAUUGUUAUUGUUCUUGUUAUUAUUAUGUAGGACCCCCUUUUAUUUAUGUAAGGCCACACACCCAGGGGACCACUAUUCCUAAUUAAAGCCUGGUUAAAGGGGAUCCUCUAUUCUUAAAGUUAGGCGUAUAGAGAUCUCCUAUCCAGAAACUAAUGCGGCCUGCCCUAUAGAGAUCUGUUAAACCAAGGCGGCCUGCCCUAUAGAGAUCUCCUAUUUCAUGUAACACCAGGCAAUAUGGAGAUCCCUGGUUAUUUUAACCGUUAAAUCCCUUACGUGGGGAUAUCCCUGGUUAUUUUAACCUUUAAGUCCCUUACGUGGGGAAAUCCCUGGUUUUUUUAACCUUUAAGGCCAGAUGUGGGGAUUUCCUUGCUUCUUUUAACCCGUGAGGCCAGCCAUGGGGAGAUAUCUUAGGCUGUUUUCAUGAAAGGUCAGGUAUAGACGCACUGUUUUCUCUCCCGUUCCAUGUGCCUGGACUCCCGGAGGGCUCCUGCCGGACGCCGUCUCCCAUCGGCCGAGUGGGAUCCUUCCUGUCUGGGAAGGAUCUGCAACACAGGUAAAAAGAAGAUUCCGGGAAGGAGAUUCUACAGCGGAGCCCUUAAGCCAGGUGAGACACUCCUUCCAGCCUCCACGGCUGCCAUGCACACACACACACACACACACAUGAGACACAAACACACAUGACACACACAUGCACAUGUACAGCUGGUGCCCACGGGGACUCUUCCCCAAUAGAUCGGGGACUCCCACUCUGGCGAUUGGCCAUUGUAAAUGCCUUGAAGCAGUUUGGGGCUUCCGGCCAAGCGCUUGCAAAGAGAAUCCAUUCAAGGUUGGACCCCCUUUUAAAGGGCCUGUCACGUGGUAUUUAUUCCUGGCACGUGGAAAACUCCAUUUGUAAGGCAAACCCUCGUUAAAGGAGGUUUGCAAUUAGUUUAAAACCAGGCUUCUGAGGGACCCGCUGCGUUUAAAGCCAAACCUAGCAGGUGGGAACCCCUUGGUUAACGUAAGGCGAGGGACCCUCCAUAUUUAAUAAGAUGCCUGGCAGAAUCUUAACCUAAAUGCAGGCCUAUGGGCUACAGCCUAUUCUGCAUAGCCAGGCAUGGGGGGACCCCAGAUUAUUAACUUGAAGCCUGGGAAAAGGAGAUUUUCGUAUUUAUUUAUUUAUUACAAUAUUUAUAUCCGGCCCUCUCUCCCCUUAAAAGGGGACUCAGAGCGGCUUACAAGUGAUAUUUACAUAUUUAUUUAUUACAAUAUUUAUAUCCGGCCCUCUCUCCCCUUAAAAGGGGACUCAGAGCGGCUUACAAGUGAUAUUUACAUAUUUAUUUAUUUAUUACAAUAUUUAUAUCCCGCCCUCUCUCCUUAAAAGGGGACUCAUUGGCUUACAAGUUAUAUUUACAUAUUUAUUUAUUACAAUAUUUAUAUCCCGCCCUUCUCACCCAACAGGGGACUCAGCGCGGCUCAACAAUAAGACGCAUAUAUAAAAACCACACAGUGCAAUAUAAAUCAUCACUAACUUACAUCAGUAUUCAUAAAACACAUUAUAAAAUACAGAUAGGUGUGUUCAGUUCAAAUCCAUUUAAGGUAUACGUGGACCCCCUUUUAAUGCCAACCUUUCCACGUGGAAAACUUUGUAAGGCAAACCCUCGUUAAAGGAGGUUUGCAAUUAAUUUAAAACCAGGCUUCUGAGGGACCCGCUGCGUUUAAAGCCAAACCUAGCAGGUGGGAACCCCUUUGGUUAACGCAAGGUGAGGGACCCUCUAUUUUUAAUAGGAUGCCUGGGAGAAAACCUAAAUGCAGGCCUAUGGGCUACAGCCUAUUCUGCAUAGCCAGGCAUGGGGGGAACCCAUAUGAUUAAUUUGAAGCCUGGUAAAAGGAGAUUUUUGUAUUUAUUACAUUUAUAUCCCGCCCUCUCUCCCCUUAAAAGGGGACUCAGAGCGGCUUACGAGUUAUAUUUACAUAUUUAUUUAUUACAAUAUUUAUAUACCGCUGUCUCUCCCCUUAAAGAGGGGACUCAGAGCGGCUUACGAGUUAUAUUUACAUAUUUAUUUAUUACAAUAUUUAUAUACCGCUGUCUCUCCCCUUAAAGAGGGGACUCAGAGCGGCUUACGAGUUAUAUUUACAUAUUUAUUUAUUACAAUAUUUAUAUCCCGCUGUGUCUCCCCUUAAAGGGGACUCAGGGCAGCUUAACAAUAAAACACAUAUAUAAAAACCAUACAGUGCAAUAUAAAUCAGCAUUAACUUACAUCAGUAUUCAUAAAACACAUCAUAAAAUACAGAUAGGUGUAUUACAUACACUGUAUCAUUAGCAUCGCACAAUAUUAGCAUUAUAUACUACAUUGCAUUAUACCACUAUACAUAAACAUUAUAGGCAAUAUUACAUUUAAUAUAUAAUAUGUAAUUCAUAUUAUUAUAUUGUAUCAUUGUUAGUAUUAUAUUGCAUUAUUUAUUUAUUUGCUAGAUAUAUAUGCUGCCCUUCUCACCCCCAAGGUGAACGGCUUACAAAUUAAAUUUACAUACAAUAUUAUAUUAUUACCAUAGUACAAUACUGGCAGUAAAUUACUAUAUUGUACUAUAUGAAUAUAUGGUAAUAUUAUUAGUAGUAUUACAUGCAAAAUGUAAUACAUAAUUAAUAUUAUAUUUAAUUAUUAGUAUAUCGUUUUACAAUAUAAUAUGAACAUUAUAUGUAUAUGCAAUAUGUUAUAAUUAUAUAUUAAAUUUUAUACACACAUACAUACAUAUAUAUACACACAGUAGAGUCAUCCAACAUAAAUGGGCCAGCGAAUAUUUAUUUAUUUAUUUACAGCAUUUUACCGGGCUGGCCUCGAACUCAUGACCUCCUGGUCAGAGUGAUUUGUUGAUAUUUAUUACUCAUUUACAGCAUUUAUAUUCCGCCCUUCCUUCUCACCCCGAAGGGGACUCAGGGCGGAUCACAUGACACAUAUAGGCAAACAUUCAAUGCCUUUUAACAUAGAACAAAGACAAACAAACAGGCUCCGAGCGGGCCUCGAACUCGUGACCUCCUGGUCAGAGUGAUUCAUUGCAGUUAAUUGCAGCUGGCUUGCUUUCCAGCCUGCGCUGUUGGAUAAUAAGGAGGCAUUAUGGAAAAGCCUAUUAAACAUCAAAUUAGUUGAUGAUUUUACAAAUUAAGCACCAAAACAUCAUUUGACAGAAAAAGUAGUUCAAUAUGCAGUAAUGCUAUGUAGUAAUUACUGUAUUUACGGAUUUAGCACCAAAAUAUCACGACGCAUUGAAAACAUGGACUACAAAAAUGCGUUGAAUAAUCCAGAAUGUUGGAUAAGAGAGUGUUGGAUGAGACUACUGUAUAUACAAUAUAAAUUAGAAUAGCAUGUUAUUGGGGGAGGAGCAUCUUGGUUAUUAGAUGUUUUUAUUAGUUAUUGAUACUAGUAUAGAUAUGACAUUGAGUAUAUAUUAUCCUAGCACAAUGUUAAUAUUAGUUAUUCAUAUUAGUCUCAAUAUGACAUUAAUAGAGUACAUUAUUAUCCUAGCACAAUGUUAUUAGAUGUUAAUAUUAGUUAUUGAUAUUAGUCUCCAUAUGACAUUAAUAGAGUAUAUUAUUAUUCUAGCACAAUGUUAUUACAUAGGACCAUGUUGUUGCUAGGGGGAGGGCCCCCCCACUGAUUGUAUUAUUAGUAUUAUGUUGUUGCUAGGGGGAGGGCCCCCCAACUGAGAUCCCCUGUCAUUAAUGUGUCAGACCAGGCAUUUCACUCCUACCUUUGCAUCAGAAAGCAGGCUCCCUGUGCGCUAGGCCUUCCUUUGAGGAACACAUUCACAGCUCCGCUUGAGUGUGGCAUUGAGGCCCCACUCAGGGACGGGCGAGUCCUCCCUUUGCCCUGGGCAGAUCGUGGGGGGUGGGCGGAUCUCCCUAGACGGGCAGGGGGUCGCGGCUGGCGGGACAGCGGGAUAUAAAAAUAUAAAUAUAUAUAUAUUAAAACCCUUGCACCCAAGGAAACAACUCUGGGGACCCGAGCGGCUGCUCCCAGCUCACGUCACGGGCAUUUUAAACAUCUCGUAGCAGCUCAGAUUAAUACCUGAACUAACCUUAACCUGCUAACCCUACUAACCCAUUUCUAACUAGAGCAGGAAUUUUAAAUAGGGCUGUUUUUGCCUGUUGGCAAGAACCAAGCUGGGAGGGGGCCUCCGGGCCUUGGGUGGGAAGAACCCUAACCCUGUCCCUGCCCUGCGCUGGGAGCGCCCCCCCUCGGGACCCCAGUGUUUGGUCCCCGCUCUCCCCCAAUCCGACGGCCUAGAAAGCCCCUCCGCCAUCCGCCCAGGGCCAACGGACGCCCCUCCCUCCCUCCCCGGCAGCUGCGUUCCUCAUGCAACAGGGAGCCUGGUUCUGGAUGCAAACGUGGGACCCCCUUAGGACCCCCUUUUCUCUGUGCAGGGACCCCCGCUCCCCAUAAAUAAAUGCCUGGUGGAAGGGGAUCCUAGUAGAAAAAGCCACAGUUCCCAAGAGCCCCCAAAAGCGAGAUGCUCCCUUGGUUCAGCCCUUCUGACUGUUUUCUCCCUUGUUCUAUGUCUCCGGAAUCGCCGAGGGAGGGGCUCCUCCUGGACAAGAGCCAAGGACGGACAGAUGGACGGACGGACGGACGGAAGGAGAUCCCAGAGAGCAGGACGCCUUGCCUUUCUGGCUGCUGAGCUCGACCCCUUUCCAACAAUGUCAGCGUUCAAGAAUAAAACUCUUCCCAAAAAAAGGUGUUUUCUGGUUAUUAUUCAAACGUUUACUUUUUGACAGCCUUAAACAUCUAGAUUACAAUACAGUUUGUGCUGCUGCCUUUUAUAAACCUUGUUUUCUACAAAUAAAGUCAAGAGAAACACCUGUAUAAGUGUUGCACUGUGCUCAGACUCAUUGUUCUGAUAUUCUGUUAUAUGGUUUUAUUAUUUAUAUCGUUUUUAAUGUAUGACUUUAUUACAUGUGACAUGGGAGCGGGGUAUAAAAAUAAAGUAUUAAUAAACACCACAAUUUUCUUGCACCCCAAGUACAUCUGGCCAUUGCCAAAGAGUAUUUAACUCUGCCUACAUGGCACUAAAGUGUAUUUAUAUGUUGAUUGUUUCUAUUGAUUUUAUGUAAUGUUUGCUUUAUUUGCAUUGAAUUUUUGUCUGGAUGUAUCUUGUAUGCCGCUCAUCUCCAUAAAUGAGCGGGAUAGAAAUGAGGUUAAUAAUUUUACGAAUGUUUUAAUGUAACUUGAAUUUUAAAUUGAGUUGAAAUGUGAUUGUAAUUGUUUAUAAGUGUUAUCUAUUUAUAAGCCACCCUGGGUCUCCUCUUAUUGGGUGAGAAGGUCUGGGAAGAAAUACUGUCAUCAAUAAAUAAAAUAUUCUGUGUCCA